rnacentral:sRNA from 2 species
AACGAAACCAUGACAGAUUGCUCUCUCGGUGGAGCGGGAUUACGCCAAAUCAGGUCUCCCUGUUGUAGUGUUAGUUACAUCCGGAGAGUUGAAUAAUAUGCCGGCACUUUGUGAUGGACAGGGUUAAGAGACGUAAGCCUGAUUCCGGCGCGAGAUGAAAACCUGACAAGCGAUGAGAGUGCCGCAACUUUCUGCGGGGCAAUUUAGCAAUAGCAAGGGGCAUAGCAAACUCAAAGUAGCAGAUACAUCACCGAUCCAAAAAAUAAAAAGGGCAACGGAUCAGAAAAUGCACUGGACAAAGCAAUAAGCUAGAACACGCAUGGAAAUGAUAAUCGGUGUUGGGUCGUUUGAUCUGACCAUCAUCCUGCACGUGGCGGCGUCCAAGCAAGGCUAGCAAACGGAACAACAAACGAUGGAACAAAAAUCUGGCAGGCCGCCAACUAGCUAGCAUGCGGGUGGCUGUUAGGCUUUCUGACGGCUGGCUUAGAGCCUGACCGGGGAGAUGCAUCCAGCCGUUUCAGGAAACAUGAUGCGAGUCAUGGGCCUCGGCCAGAGAUAAUGUUCGGAGUUGAAUGACAACCAUUGAAGGUCUCGGCAUCAAAUCAAAGCUAAAAACGGCGAAGGACCAAGGGUUAAGUUGUGAACA